rnacentral:rRNA from 1 species
UGGGGAAUAUUGCGCAAUGGGGGAAACCCUGACGCAGCGACGCCGCGUGAGCGAUGAAGGCCUUAGGGUUGUAAAGCUCUGUUUUAAGGGACGAAUGUUACGGGGAGUAACAUACCCUGUAAAUGACGGUACCUUAAGAGGAAGCCCCGGCUAACUACGUGCCAGCAGCCGCGGUAAGACGUAGGGGGCGAGCGUUGUCCGGAAUUACUGGGCGUAAAGAGCACGUAGGCGGGAACUUAAGUCAGGUGUGAAAGACCGGGGCUCAACCCCGGGGGUGCACUUGAGACUGGGUUUCUUGAGGGCAGGAGAGGAAAGUAGAAUUCCUGGUGUAGCGGUGAAAUGCGUAGAAAUCAGGAGGAAUACCAGUGGCGAAGGCGACUUUCUGGACUGACCCUGACGCUGAGGUGCGAAAGCGUGGGUAGCAAACAG